UUAUGAUAGAGGCGCAGGUGCUAUCAGUAGCGGUUUCCCACGGCUUCGCAGGCUACGAAAAUCGUGAAAGGCGUAUCUGCCGAAAGGUGUGCGAGGCGAAAGUGCAUCUUGGUAGUUCGGAUAAGAUCCGCCCUACUGUCGCUAAUGCGGAGAGCUAUCUU
rnacentral:ncRNA from 1 species